UGGUGGGCUAGGCUGGGAGGUUGGGCGUCUCCUACCCUCUCAAAUCGUCCUUAUGGAGAGGUCGAAGCCUGGGGGGCGAUUUAUCCCCCUGAUAUCAGUCUGUGUCUUCAACUAUGAACUAUUGUCUCACUGGAUUUGUCCCCGCGGGAACCGGGUCAGGCCCUGGCGGGAGCAGCCCUAACCACGGUGCACAAUGCUGGUGAGGUCGCGGUAGUGAGAAGGGACUCAGGUAGCUGGUGUUAGGGAGAUGACUCCACCCUUGGGCACGCCCGCCA
rnacentral:SRP_RNA from 1 species